AUUGAACGCUGGCGGCAUGCCUUACACAUGCAAGUCGAACGGUAACAGGUCUUCGGAUGCUGACGAGUGGCGAACGGGUGAGUAAUACAUCGGAACGUGCCUAGUAGUGGGGGAUAACGCGGGGAAACUCGCGCUAAUACCGCAUACGUCCUACGGGAGGAAGCGGGGGCUCUUCGGACCUCGCGCUAACAGAUGAGCCUAGGUCGGAUUAGCUAGUUGGUGGGGUAAUGGCCCACCAAGGCGACGAUCCGUAACUGGUCUGAGAGGAUGAUCAGUCACACUGGAACUGAGACACGGUCCAGACUCCUACGGGAGGCAGCAGUGGGGAAUAUUGGACAAUGGGCGAAAGCCUGAUCCAGCCAUGCCGCGUGUGUGAAGAAGGUCUUCGGAUUGUAAAGCACUUUAAGUCGGGAGGAAGGGCUGUAGGCUAAUACCUUGCAGUUUUGACGUUACCGACAGAAUAAGCACCGGCUAACUUCGUGCCAGCCGCCGCCGUAACAC
rnacentral:rRNA from 1 species